AACGAACGCUGGCGGCAUGCCUAACACAUGCAUGUCGAACGAGACCUUCGGGUCUAGUGGCGCACGGGUGCGUAACGCGUGGGAACCUGCCCUUAGGUUCGGAAUAACUCCCCGAAAGGGGUGCUAAUACCGGAUAAUGUCUUCGGACCAAAGAUUUAUCGCCUUUGGAUGGGCCCGCGUUGGAUUAGCUAGUUGGUAGGGUAAAAGCCUACCAAGGCGACGAUCCAUAGCUGGUCUGAGAGGAUGAUCAGCCACACUGGGACUGAGACACGGCCCAGACUCCUACGGGAGGCAGCAGUGGGGAAUAUUGGACAAUGGGCGAAAGCCUGAUCCAGCAAUGCCGCGUGAGUGAUGAAGGCCUUAGGGUUGUAAAGCUCUUUUACCCGGGAUGAUAAUGACAGUACCGGGAGAAUAAGCUCCGGCUAACUCCGU
rnacentral:rRNA from 1 species